rnacentral:rRNA from 1 species
GCAAGUCGAGCGCCCUUAGCCUUUUGGCGGGGCGCGGCGAACGGGUGAGUAACACGUGGAUUACGUACCUUUUGGAGGGGGUUAACUCGGGGAAACUCGGGCUAAUACCGCGUAUGGCCUACGGGUCAUAGCCUUUUAGGUUCCAAGAGAUCGGUCCGCGUCCCAUUAGUUAGUCCUAGUUGGUGGGGUAACGGCCCACAAAGGGUACGAUGGGUAGCGGGUCUGAGAGGACAAUC